GGGGGUGCACCGGUUUCGACAGGUGUGAUUCGUGGUUUUAGACUGCAGGUGAGUACGUCCAAACUCUAAAGAGACAAACUUAUAAUUGCCACUUUCAAAAAAGAAGAUGACAAUGUUUUUGCAGCUGCUAACGACGAAUUAGAUUUCGCUCUAGCUGCAUAACACGGGAUUCAAGUUGUGCCGUUCUGAACGGCUUGAUAUCUUGUAACUGAUCAGGACUUACUUUAUGAGGUUUCCGGCACUUGUAAAGGAAAAUUAGAUAUCGGAAUACGGUGCCGAUGCUUGUGAUGCUGCUACCGCGCGCCCGACAACUACCUCGCAUUACUAAACCUGUAGACGUCUCUGGUCCGCACACUUGGACGGGAGUUCGAUUCUCCCCAUCUCCAUAA
rnacentral:tmRNA from 1 species